GCUUUGCUGCCAGCGUCGAUGUGGUCCAGACAAGACCUGCGGCACACAGUGGAUGCCCCUGGCUACUGACGUCAAGAUCGGCAAGGAGAUACAAGAAAGAAUAGCUGCUUUAUCUCUCCUGGGAUCUGGACACUCGCGUCCUCUAUCAACAACAACGCACACACACUCUCGUUCUGUGCUUUGGUCUGCUCUGGUGUUACGCAGCUGGUCCGAAAACAAAAAGAAGCCUUUGUCAAGCCCACCGCACCUGGGCAAUCCGCUACCACUCUCACAAGACUAAAUACAAAAUUAUACAUAAAAGCCCCUCAUGAAUAUGAAAUAAGAGUUUCAAAAUCCCUUCAUCAGGAGCCACAAGGUUUGCGUGUAUAUAUUAGUCAUCCAUGUAACUCAUUUAUUUUUGUGUACUAACAAAUCACAGCUCAUAACUUUCGUAGUCAAGUGUACAGGCAGUGUUUGGACAAAAUUCGUUCCAUAGCUCAUUAAAGUACGGCGGAAUAUGUUGCUAAAUUGCUGGUAGGACUCUGACAUCUGGUGGGCAUUGGAAACUGAGCAAGUGAUCCGACCUUCCGAAGUACAUACAGAUUAGCCCUUGCAUUACAAGAGUACAGGCAUCCCAUGAUUUAUGAACAAUCUUUAUCAGAAAUUUCAGUAUAAGGCCGUUGGUUUUUGAUACCCAAUUUUAAGCUUCCGGUAUAACAACAUUUAUCCAAAGUGUGUCCAAAAAAACAGAAAAACUGAAAGUCACACACAUUGUGUAAGUGAAGCAGAAGUGCAGGAAUGUACUGUGUAUCUGUUAGUGUGUUGGGAAUAUGGGGGUGUUGCUUUAAGAAAGUAGGGGUGUGUAUGAAAUUCCACAGCAGUGUCUGCUGGCCAUAUUGGGUGUGUUAAUUUAAUUUAAUAAUUGCAGAGAAAACAGACCGACUGGCACGGAAAGUUUAGUUAAUGAUUUUCAGGUAUGUACAGUCUGCGCAUUUUAGCAGCAGUGUGCAGUUUUAGAAAGUUGUUCACACUAAAGGCAACGUGUUCAGCGGAAUCCUGCUUGGUUUAUUGUUCAUCCUGCAGAGAACCGAUCAAAAAAGAAAAGCGGAAAUACCCCCAGAGCAAUGACAACUCACAACUCGAAAAGGAGCCUCAGUGCUGUGAGGGAAGCCUGUCUUUCUUUCAUCCAUCCAUCAUGAAUAACUGCUUCUCCAGAGCAGGGCUGCGAGGGUCCAGAGUCUCUCCCGGAAGUUUACCAUCAGAAAAAGUACGGCGAGAUAAAGACAUUCGUCUGAUGUGAACUGCUCCGGAGGAAUGCUUUAUGGGUGGAGAAAAAGAGACGAGCCUGCAGGAGCACCUUGAAACAAAUAAGAAGCCAUCACUGCGGAAUACGGGGGUGUGUGAGUCGCGGUAGAAUGCAGUACGGCAGCUUUCCGGAAGUUAAGUUACAUGGGAGAGGUAGAAAU
rnacentral:lncRNA from 1 species